rnacentral:sRNA from 4 species
UGUAUCUGAAGUCUGACGAGGAUGAGAACCUCCGGAGGCAAGAGGUUCGACCCGAGCGAAGCGAGAAAAUGUUGCGUCAGCAACGGCCCGCAGGGCGAGCCACGCAGUGGCGAGUCAUCCUCUAUCACCGACCA